rnacentral:rRNA from 1 species
UCGAGAAUUUUUCACAAUGGGCGAAAGCCUGAUGGAGCGACGCCGCGUGGAGGAUGAAUGGCUUCGGCCCGUAAACCCCUGUCAUUUGCGAUCAACCGUUAUUGUUUAAGAGAUGAUAACCUGAUAGUAGCGAAAGAGGAAGGGACGGCUAACUCUGUGCCAGCAGCCGCGGUAAUACAGAGGUCCCGAGCGUUGUUCGGAUUCACUGGGCGUAAAGGGUGCGUAGGUGGUGAGGUGUGUCGGAUGUGAAAUCUCGGAGCUCAACUCCGAAACUGCAUUGGAAACUACCUUGCUAGAGGGUUGGAGGGGGGACUGGAAUACUUGGUGUAGCAGUGAAAUGCGUAGAUAUCAAGUGGAACACCAGUGGCGAAGGCGAGUCCCUGGACAACUCCUGACACUGAGGCACGAAAGCUAGGGGAGCAAACA